rnacentral:rRNA from 1 species
AUGGAGAAUGGCUACCACCGACACCCUACAAGAAGGAAUGGUGGCACCCGCCGGUGUCACCGCAUCGGAGCCGGACGAGCCGGCAAGGAUUUCUCCCGCACGCCAAACACCACCGCCCAUCCGGAGCCUACCAACCAAACCACCGCCCAGUGCGCCAUCGAGGUUGCGCCGCCAUCCACGCCGUCUCGCUACGAGCACCAACACGAGGCCGAGAAGACCGGAGAGAAGCGCCACACGCCGAGAGCAGCAGCACCAAGGUCGAGCGGGAGGGAACCACCUCCACCGCCGUCGUGCGAGAAGCCCACGCCUCCGGCACCGUCGCGGUAG